ensembl:ncRNA F32H5.8 ncRNA
AGGGGCCAGAUAUUUUUUGGCCAUAUGGUGGAAACAAGAGAAAAGACAAAAAAGUGUUGAAAUCAAAGCUCGAUUUGAUCGAACAAGUCUGAGAAAAAUGAGCGAGAAAGUUGCCAAAAUAAGGUCCCAAGGGGAA